rnacentral:misc_RNA from 1 species
ACUCACAAAGCUCAAUCAUCAAUGGCUGCCUCCUCUUCCAUUUUCUUAGUUUAUUUCUUGCUACCCUUAUUUUCCACAGCAACCCUCCACAGUACUUCUUCUCUUUAUAGAUCCCAACUCAUCACUCAGCAAGAAUCUUCACCCAAAAAUGCCACCCCCACAACAUUUUUUGAAGUCACAAAACCUAUAAAAUUACCCAAAACCAAACCUUUUUCACACCUAAUUCUUGAACAUGAUUUUGGUUCCACCUACAGAAAACCCCCAAUUCUUGCUAACUACACACCCCCUUUUAAUUGCCCAUCUCAGAAAUUUUCCAAAAUUGUGCUGGAAUGGAGAGCAACUUGUAAAGGUAGACAAUUUGAUAGAAUUUUUGGUGUUUGGGUUAGUGGGGUUGAGAUUUUCAGAAGCUGCACUGCUGAACCAACUAAAAAUGGGAUCUUUUGGACUGUCAAGAAGGACAUUACUAGG